GAAAUGCGAUAAGUAGUGUGAAUUGCAGAAUUCAGUGAAUCAUCGAAUCUUUGAACGCACAUUGCGCCCUUCGGUAUUCCGUUGGGCAUGCCUGUUCGAGCGUCAUUUAAACCUUCAAGCUCUGCUUGGUGUUGGGUGUUUGUUCCGCCCCCGUGCGUGGACUCGCCUUAAAUUCAUUGGCAGCCGGUAUGUUGGCUUCGUGCGCAGCACAUUGCAAACGAUCCAAGUAUACCCCCUCCCAUUAAGCUCUCCUUUUUACUUUGACCUCGGAUCAGGUAGGGAUACCCGCUGAACUUAA
rnacentral:misc_RNA from 1 species